GCAGCAGCCACGGUAAUACGUAGGUGGCAAGCGUUGUCCGGAAUUAUUGGGCGUAAAGGGCUCGCAGGCGGUUUCUUAAGUCUGAUGUGAAAGCCCCCGGCUCAACCGGGGAGGGUCAUUGGAAACUGGGAAACUUGAGUGCAGAAGAGGAGAGUGGAAUUCCACGUGUAGCGGUGAAAUGCGUAGAGAUGUGGAGGAACACCAGUGGCGAAGGCGACUCUCUGGUCUGUAACUGACGCUGAGGAGCGAAAGCGUGGGGAGCGAACAGGAUUAGAUACCCCGGUAGUCCCUGUCUCUUAUAA
rnacentral:rRNA from 1 species